rnacentral:rRNA from 1 species
CCUACGGGUGGCUGCAGUGGGGAAUAUUGGACAAUGGGCGAAAGCCUGAUCCAGCCAUGCCGCGUGUGUGAAGAAGGCCUUCGGGUUGUAAAGCACUUUCAGUGGGGAAGAAAGCCUUGGGGCUAAUACCCUCGAGGAAGGACAUCACCCACAGAAGAAGCACCGGCUAACUCCGUGCCAGCAGCCGCGGUAAUACGGAGGGUGCGAGCGUUAAUCGGAAUUACUGGGCGUAAAGCGCGCGUAGGCGGUCUGAUAAGCCGGUUGUGAAAGCCCCGGGCUCAACCUGGGAACGGCAUCCGGAACUGUCAGGCUAGAGUGCAGGAGAGGAAGGUAGAAUUCCCGGUGUAGCGGUGAAGUGCGUAGAGAUCGGGAGGAAUACCAGUGGCGAAGGCGGCCUUCUGGACUGACACUGACGCUGAGGUGCGAAAGCGUGGGUAGCAAACAGGAUUAGAUACCCCAGUAGUC